rnacentral:rRNA from 1 species
CUACGGGAGGCAGCAGUGGGGAAUAUUGCACAAUGGGCGAAAGCCUGAUGCAGCGACGCCGCGUGAGCGAAGAAGUAUUUCGGUAUGUAAAGCUCUAUCAGCAGGGAAGAUAAUGACGGUACCUGACUAAGAAGCACCGGCUAAAUACGUGCCAGCAGCCGCGGUAAU